GACACCACUCGCCCCUCUUCUCUACCCCCAUUCUUUUCUUCUGCCCUUCCUUUUCUCGCGAGGAGAUAAGCAGAACAACAGAGGCGGGGGGAGGGGGAAGGGCGGACUCUGCGUGUUCCGGAGCGCGAGCUCCGAGUGCACCGAACCUCGUGAACGAGACCCCUCUCUCUGUUAUACUGCCCGUUUACCGGCAAAAAGAGUUGUUGACGGCGCGUUGCUUUUUCAGCGACGCGACUCUCUACUCGACCUGCGCCGGUUUUCCGUAAGCGCCGUGGAGACAGCAGUUCCGGUCGUUGCUUUUGUUGUUUGUUUUCAACAACAAAACAAGCAAACACCCCAACUUUCG
rnacentral:misc_RNA from 1 species